rnacentral:rRNA from 1 species
GCAGUCGAGCGGACAGAUGGGAGCUUGCUCCCUGAUGUUAGCGGCGGACGGGUGAGUAACACGUGGGUAACCUGCCUGUAAGACUGGGAUAACUCCGGGAAACCGGGGCUAAUACCGGAUGGUUGUUUGAACCGCAUGGUUCAAACAUAAAAGGUGGCUUCGGCUACCACUUACAGAUGGACCCGCGGCGCAUUAGCUAGUUGGUGAGGUAACGGCUCACCAAGGCAACGAUGCGUAGCCGACCUGAGAGGGUGAUCGGCCACACUGGGACUGAGACACGGCCCAGACUCCUACGGGAGGCAGCAGUAGGGAAUCUUCCGCAAUGGACGAAAGUCUGACGGAGCAACGCCGCGUGAGUGAUGAAGGUUUUCGGAUCGUAAAGCUCUGUUGUUAGGGAAGAACAAGUACCGUUCGAAUAGGGCGGUACCUUGACGGUACCUAACCAGAAAGCCACGGCUAACUACGUGCCAGCAGCCGCGGUAAUACGUAGGUGGCAAGCGUUGUCCGGAAUUAUUGGGCGUAAAGGGCUCGCAGGCGGUUUCUUAAGUCUGAUGUGAAAGCCCCCGGCUCAACCGGGGAGGGUCAUUGGAAACUGGGGAACUUGAGUGCAGAAGAGGAGAGUGGAAUUCCACGUGUAGCGGUGAAAUGCGUAGAGAUGUGGAGGAACACCAGUGGCGAAGGCGACUCUCUGGUCUGUAACUGACGCUGAGGAGCGAAAGCGUGGGGAGCGAACAUGAUUAGAUACGCUGGUAGUCCACGCCGUAAACGAUGAGUGCUAAGUGGUAAGGGGGUUUCCGCCCCUUANGCUGCAGCUUACGCAUAAUGCACUGCGCCUGGCGGAGUACG